GAGACCUCAGGUCAGGCGGGGCUACCCGCUGAGUUUAAGCAUAUCAAUAAGCGGAGGAAAAA
rnacentral:rRNA from 1 species